AAAAAAAAAAAAAAAAAAAAAAAAAAAUUAUCAAUACUGUGUUUACAGGGACACUGCACAGUUAGGAGUGGGGCUAUAUAGAAUAAGUAGUUAUUUUCAAAAUAUAGAUAUCUAAUGUAUAGUAUAAACAGGGAUAGAUAACUACUGAAAAGGUAGUUCAACAGGUAAAAUAGAUGAAUAGUCAAGAAAAGUAGUUAUCAUCCAUAAUAUAGGAGUUGGUAUCUUGGGGUAGUAUGAGGAAGAUGGGAGAGAGGAAGAAAAUGCCAGACUAUGAUAGUCAUGAGCCGAAGUAAGCUUGGUGCUAUCUCUUCCUCUUAGUUUUCUUGUUUCUUUUGUGUUAGUGUUGAUUCUAGUGAAAAAAAUCAAUUUAAUGAAUCAAUGUUUGAUUUAUGAAGUUAUUUAUUGAUCACUGUUUAUCAAUUGUUGUGAAAGAUUGAUGAUGUAUGGAAAUUUCCAGUCACUGUUUAUUGCAAGGUUGUGAGUUAAGUGGAGAGGAAUUUUAAUCAAAAGAAUUGUCUCGAUCAGAUUUUGUGGAUUAAAAGUUGUUCGUUCCAGGGUUUGGGUUAUGCUUGUAUGUUUGUGAAUUACAUAGGAUAAUAAAAUUGAUGUCGUGGUUGUUAUCGUAUUGAUAUGAGAGAGUGGACA
rnacentral:lncRNA from 1 species